GAGGGGGGAAUGUAGCUGUUUGAAACAAAUGUGUAUAAAUAAAUGAAUUGUUGACCUGGAGAUUGGUAGCUUGUUCAAGAAAGUCCA
rfam:Myotis davidii contig322759, whole genome shotgun sequence.